rnacentral:rRNA from 1 species
AANCCUGCAUGUCUAAGUAUAAGCAACUUGUACUGUGAAACUGCGAAUGGCUCAUUAAAUCAGUUAUCGUUUAUUUGAUAGUACCUUACUACAUGGAUACCUGUGGUAAUUCUAGAGCUAAUACAUGCUAAAAACCCCGACUUCAGGAAGGGGUGUAUUUAUUAGAUAAAAAACCAACGCCCUUCGGGGCUCCUUGGUGAAUCAUAAUAACUUAACGAAUCGCAUGGCCUUGCGCCGGCGAUGGUUCAUUCAAAUUUCUGCCCUAUCAACUUUCGAUGGUAGGAUAGUGGCCUACCAUGGUGGCAACGGGUAACGGGGAAUUAGGGUUCGAUUCCGGAGAGGGAGCCUGAGAAACGGCUACCACAUCCAAGGAAGGCAGCAGGCGCGCAAAUUACCCAAUCCCGAUACGGGGAGGUAGUGACAAUAAAUACUGAUACGGGGCUCUUUUGGGUCUCGUAAUUGGAAUGAGAACAAUUUAAAUCCCUUAACGAGGAACAAUUGGAGGGCAAGUCUGGUGCCAGCAGCCGCGGUAAUUCCAGCUCCAAUAGCGUAUAUUAAAGUUGUUGCAGUUAAAAAGCUCGUAGUUGAACCUUGGGUCUGGCUGGUCGGUCCGCCUCACCGCGAGUACUGAUCCGGCUGGACCUUUCCUUCUGGGGAACCUCAUGGCCUUCACUGGCUGUGGGGGGAACCAGGACUUUUACUGUGAAAAAAUUAGAGUGUUCAAAGCAGGCCUUUGCUCGAAUACAUUAGCAUGGAAUAAUAGAAUAGGACGUGUGGUUCUAUUUUGUUGGUUUCUAGGACCGCCGUAAUGAUUAAUAGGGAUAGUCGGGGGGCGUCAGUAUUNCAGCUGUCAGAGGUGAAAUUCUUGGAUUUGCUGAAGACUAACUACUGCGAAAGCAUUCGCCCAAGGAUGUUUUCAUUAAUCAGGGAACGAAAGUUAGGGGAUCGAAGACGAUCAGAUACCGUCGUAGUCUUAACCAUAAACUAUGCCGACUAGGGAUCGGACAGGAUUCUAUAANGACCUGUUCGGCACCUUACGAGAAAUCAAAGU